UAUAUCGCCCAGACCCUAAUAACGGAGGAAUUGAGGGCAGUCUGCGCAGUCCCCUGUCCCCCGGGCUGCUGCCCGGCCCUCGCAGUGACACAGCAAGAGAGCGCUGAGACUCCUAAGCCCCUCACGCAGGCGAAAAGCAAAGGAAGACAGCCUUCUAAAUAUGUAUGUUAAGGGCCAGAUGCAGCCAUGAUGUCAAAGCCACAAGAAGGAAGGAAGGGGGGAACAGCAGCACCACAGUGUCCACAGCUGUAUCAGACAACUGCAAUGCCGUCUGGGUCUGGGAAGCUGCAGCCGUGCCGGCGCAUCCUACCAUCCCUCCCCGUAAGCCCACCCCAGGGCUGUACUGUAAGUCCUCUAUCACCAGCAAUUUCCUGCUGGGGCUGUUUCAUGCUUUUCAUAUCCAAAUAUUUUGGCAUUAGCUUGAUUGUUUACCCCUAUUUUCUCAUCUUGAUGCCACGGCAAGAUUAACUGAGUUUAUCCCUUCCUCCAUUCUCCAAUGUGUGGAGCAGGAGCAAAUCACAAAGAAUCUUCCAAGGAAAAGUAAUAAUUGCUGGAAAAAUUAAAGCAAAACGUGCCUGAGGGGGAAUAGAAAAAGCAGACAGCUGAUUUUUGCCUGCUGAAGCCAAAUCGCAAAAAACAAGAACUCCAGAAGGAGGCAUUCGAACAUACUCCCGAACAGCAGCCCCACAAGGUGACACUGCCUGGGACAUGCAUGGGGCACGAGUGUGACCUGACGUCAGACGGGGGCUCCAGGUCAAACUACAAAUCAGACGGAGACCAAAGCUGCCUCUCUGACUUCUGCUCCUAGAGAGCAGCCUGGCAGCCGAUGCCCCUCAAGGAGCCGCAGUGUUUCGGGGACGAGCUCCUCAGGAGGCAACAGCAUCCCUCAGGAUUGGCCCCGGGUGACCGCGCUCGAGUUGGGACUGUCCGGCCCUCGUGCUCCCUCGCGUCGCUCCCGCCCACAGUUCGGUCGCCGCCGCACGCUUUAUUUCUCACCGGGAAAGGCAGGUCCGAGAGCCGUGGAGGUGGAGGACAACCACGCGAAGGCGGCCCAGAGAAGUCCCUCUGCGUGGAGCCCGGGGCGCCCGCGGCCCCUUGCUGCAACCUCCGCACUAAAAAUACGGGGCUGCAUCGCGGCAUCAGCUGCCGUUUUGGCUUUGGCCUAGCAAAGACCAGUGGAAACUGCCUUUCAGAUAUCAGACUGUCUGUCUAACCCUUGAGCAACAAAACCUCCGUGUGUGUGUUUGGUUGUGUCCCAAAAUGGAAACCUUGG
rnacentral:lncRNA from 1 species